CGAAACAAGGCAAUACGGUAGACCAAAAUACCACAUCCUGAAAUUCAAAAUUCAAGUACGUUAAGGCACUGGAUAUGGAUGAAGAAUUAGGAAGCGGAAUUAAAUUAUAAUUUGGAAUAUUUGCAUACUUCAAAUACCUGGUAAUGCAAUCCAUUUUGGGAAAAUAAAAUUGCAGUACUUUUGGAAAUAUUGACCUCAAGUUUUAGGGAAUUUGUAAGUAAAUCGUAAAUAUUACGCAAACAACUAUUCAUAACCGAUUCACCACUUUUAAUAUCAUUACAGUUUACAUAGAGAACAAGAUCGUCAGCAAAGAAUAAAUGUUUAACAGAAUUUGGAAUUUUCUUUAUGAAACAUACUAAACUAAGUAUGAAUAUGAGAGGUGAUAAAACGCAACCUUGAGGAGUACCUUUAGUAGAAAUUUUAGGACCAAAUAAACUAGAUUUAAUUUUCAAAAACAUAGAGCGCUUGUUCAGGAAAUUGUACAGCCAGAACAGAACAUGUCCUGGAAAGCCUAAAGAAUGUAGACUUUCAAUAAGGUAGGAAUGAUCUAUAUUAUCAAAAGCCCCUUUAAUAUCCAAAAAUACCGCUAAUGUAAAUUGAUUAUUAUGGAAGUUAUUUUUAAUAUCGCCAAUCAAACAGCUUAAGUUAUCUAUUGUACUUUUACCUUUACGAAAUCCGUAUUGAGUACUUGGUAUUAAGUUGUUAUUUUCAGUAAACCACUCUAACCUGUUUUUUAACAUAGUUUCGAAAAUUUUCGAAAAACAAGAAGUUAAUGAAAUGGGUCUGUGAGAAUUGAUACAGUUGGGAUCCUUGUAAAGCUUUAAAAUCGGUACUACAUGUUGAGUUUUCCAAAUCGGAGGAAUACAGUUGUUUUGCCAAAGAUCAUUAAAUAUUUGACAUAAAAUUUCCUUGGCAUACUGGGGAAGAUUUUUGAUUACUUUAUAAGGGAUGAAAUCAGGACCAGGGGAGGUUUCCUUUUUAUUUUCUAAUGCAGUCGCAAAUUCGCCCAUAGAGAAUGGGUCUACCAGCCAUUGAGCCUCCGGUUUUCCGUGGCUGUUAAAAAAAUCUUGUAACUUAGAUUCGGAAAUUUCAUUCUCAGAACCAGCUAUCGAAUCCAAAAACAAAGAUGCAUUAGCGGGAUUUUGAAAAAAACUUGAAGACGAAGAAAUGUUAUUGAGUUUAGCGUGCUUAAAUCUACGAAUGUGAUCCCAAAUAAUUUUACUCGAAGUCAUUCGAUUGAAUGAUGAACAAAGAUUCAUCCAGCUUGAACGUUUUAUUUCAUAUAAAGUUCUUUUCUUCAAAGCGUCCAGCUUUUUAAAAAUAAUAUAGUUUUCCAUAUUUGGAUAAUGCUUGUACGAUAAUAAAGCAACUUUGGCUUGUAAAACUACGCGGUCACAAUCAGCAUUCCACCAAGGAACAGCUUUGGAACAAUUCCGUUUUUUGUGCGAGUAACACUUUUUGUCCAAAGUCAUUAAUAUGUCAUGUAAAAUACUCAAAAACAUAUUAUAAUUUUCAAGAGGGUUAUCAGCGAAGCUAAAACUUGAAAACUCACUUUCACAUAACUUAUUAAAUUUUGACCAGUCAAUCUUAUUAAAAUUUAUGUUAGCUAAAGAGGUAUUAUGUGUAUCAACUUGAUUUAUUGAAGAGGUGGUCGGGCCAAAGGAAGGAUGGGAAGGAAGAAAAGCAUCGUUAAAGACUUCAAUAAGUAGUGGGAAAUGAUUACUACUGAGCAAAUCAUCAAGGACAGAAACUGUGCAACUAGAGCUAAGAGCAGGGGAAGCGAAUACUAGAUCCAAUACAUUUCCUUGUUGACCAAAUGGAGCAAAGGUUGUGAUUGUCUCAUCAUUUAAACAAACUAACUCAGAACUUUCCACAUAAUCAUGAAGGGCUUUACCUCUUCUAUCAUUGACUCUUGAACUCCAGGAAGCAUGAUGUGCAUUGAAGUCACCAAUUAUUAAAUAAUUAUUUGAAACAAAUUUAGAACAUGAAUCUUUCAAUAAAUUAAUAGUGAACUUACCAUUUGGUGGUGGAGGAAUGUAAACACAUAAAAUGUCAAAAGAAAAAUUAUUAAUGUAAACUGUAAUUAAAAUAUUUUGAAAAUGAUAUUGAGAAA